GUAUGACUGCGCGGCGCGGCCGGCGGCGGCGCCUUGUUCCUUGUUCGCAUGGCGUUGGUUGAAGGUGGAGGUGUGCUGUGCAGGGGGGCGACGAGCUUCUAAUUCAAGUUGAAAUAGAAGAUCAGCUAUUUCUCCCUAGAAGAUGGCAGCAGUGCUAAAGAUGCCAUGCACAGAGAGCUCCAGCACAUUGUAUCUAAAAUGGUCGUACAGAAGUACAGCUGGGUUUCUGAGAACAAAUUAGCAUUUAAAAGCCUGGCAAAUGUGCUGCUGUUUCUCCUUGGUGCCAGACGUACCCUGUUCAACACAACCGACGCAGCUGUUUCGGACAUAACAAAAAGGUGGCUCACG
rnacentral:lncRNA from 1 species